GGCAUGAUCUGAUGGUUAUGGAGAAUCUGUCCUUUGGUCGAAAUAUCACUCGUCAGUAUGAUCUUAAAGGUGCUCUGUAUGCUCGAUACACUUCAGCUGGUGAUGGUUCAGGAGAUGUUCUAUUAGAUCAGAACUUCGUCAAUGAUAUGAAUUCCUCUCCACUAUAUGUUAGUAACAAAGCAAAGCGUGUCCUGGAACGUGCUGUUUGGAAUGAUACAGCUUUCCUUAAUCCAUUACAUUGAUUGAAUUAAG
rnacentral:misc_RNA from 1 species